rnacentral:rRNA from 1 species
AGUGAACGCUAGUGGCGUGCUUAACACAUGCAAGUCGAACGGACGAUAUUUGUGCUUGCACAAAUAAAGUUAGUGGCAAACGGGUGAGUAAUACAUGAGAAUUUUCCUUGCAGUACGGAAUAACUAUUGGAAACAGUAGCUAAUACCGUAUAUUGCCGAGAGGUGAAAGAUUUAUCGCUGCAAGAUAAGCCCAUGCAAGAUUAGCUUGUUGGUAAGGUAAUGGCUUACCAAGGCUACGAUCUUUAGCUGGUUUGAGAGGAUGAUCAGCCACACUGGAACUUAGACACGGCCCAGACUCCUACGGGAGGCAGCAGUGGGGAAUUUUCCGCAAUGGGCGAAAGCCUGACGGAGCAACGCCGCGUGAGGGAUGAAGGCCUCUGGGCUGUAAACCUCUUUUAUCAAGGAAGAAGAUCUGACGGUACUUGAUGAAUAAGCCACGGCUAAUUCCGUGCCAGCCGCCGCCGUAACAC